rnacentral:rRNA from 1 species
GCUCGAGUGGCGAACGGGUGAGUAACACGUGAGUAACCUGCCCUUGACUUUGGGAUAACUUCAGGAAACUGGGGCUAAUACCGGAUAGGAGCUCCUGCUGCAUGGUGGGGGUUGGAAAGUUUCGGCGGUUGGGGAUGGACUCGCGGCUUAUCAGCUUGUUGGUGGGGUAGUGGCUUACCAAGGCUUUGACGGGUAGCCGGCCUGAGAGGGUGUACGGCCACAUUGGGACUGAGAUACGGCCCAG